rnacentral:rRNA from 1 species
UACGAAGGGGGCUAGCGGUGUUCGGAUUUACUGGGCGUAAAGCGCGUGUAGGCGGGUCGUUAAGUUGGGGGUGAAAUCCCGGAGCUCAACUCCGGAACUGCCUCCGAAACUGGCGACCUGGAGCAAGAUAGAGGCGAGUGGAAUUCCGAGUGUAGAGGUGAAAUUCGUAGAUAUUCGGAGGAACACCAGUGGAGAAGGCGACUCGCUGGAUCUUUGCUGACGCUGAGACGCGAAAGCGUGGGGAGCAAACAGG